UCAAAAAUGACGCAAAAAGCGGAAACAACACAUCAUUAGUUAGAGCAAAUUACGUUACGAAGCUGAUGUGUCCUUUGUGGAGACAAUUGAUCUGUGAUGAGGAGUUGAUGCUUUGUGGGUGGAAUGGCAGCAGAGGAUGCAUAGGAGGAAGAAGGAUUAGGUUCAGACUGCUGGAUGUCUGAAGAAACCUAAGCAGAAUCUUUUCAGAUACCGGAUAAAGUAAGAAGAUGAAAUGAAACUGGAUGAGACUAAAAGCGAGCUCCUGUGCAAAGCAGCAAACCAUUUACUCAAACUCUCACAGAGUAAGAAGCAAAGAGCCUGUUUGCUAAGCCAGAUUUCUCUGGAUCAA